UACGUAGGGUGCGAGCGUUGUCCGGAAUUAUUGGGCGUAAAGGGCUCGUAGGCGGUCUGUCGCGUCGGGAGUGAAAACUCAGGGCUUAACCCUGAGCCUGCUUCCGAUACGGGCAGACUAGAGGUAUGCAGGGGAGAACGGAAUUCCUGGUGUAGCGGUGGAAUGCGCAGAUAUCAGGAGGAACACCGGUGGCGAAGGCGGUUCUCUGGGCAUUACCUGACGCUGAGGCGCGAAGGCUAGGGUAGCAAACAGG
rnacentral:rRNA from 1 species